AGCAGAUACAACAAGAACUAAACAAGUACAAGAAUGGAAAAUGCAUGUUUCCUUGGAAGUAUAUGCUCAUAUCAUCAUCUGCUUCAUAACCUUGCCAAGUGAAGACAUGGCUGCUGCCAAAGGAAGAAGAGCAAGGUCACCCGGAGCCUGAGCCUCAUGAGGGGGAACUUGGACAUCAGUGGGAGAAAUCCCCAAGAGAUUGCAUUUGAAGUUCAUUUUAAGCCAUUGUAAGGCCUCUCCCUCUGCUACUCCAGUGCGGCAGUGUGACCUUCUGCUGAACUCGUGGCUUCGCGGGCUAGGAAAUCUGACUGAAGAUUCCAUGCAAAGUUCACCUAGUGAAUGGAAGAUGUGAGUUCCCAGGAGAAGGGGAGGGAGGAGAAGAUGGCGGCGCAACGCAGCUCGCAGCGGCCACUCCGGUGGUGAUGUCUGUUAUUUGUCAAGUAGGGUGCCGUGCACAAUCCUG